ensembl:lncRNA
AAGUCACGUCCGUCAACCGCCCAGCUAGUCACCGAUAAGCGGCUAACAACGGAUGAUCUGUCGCCGGGCGCGUGCUUAUAGUUGGACCCAGAACUUGAAUUUGUUUUGUGCAUGCAGUUAUGUAGACUCUUCCUGAUUGAGUUACAGUAAUUGGAUUCGAGAUAAGAUCAGGCGUUUACAGCAAAGUCUCACUCUGACAAUUAGGAAGUCUCCACUCAGCAGAACAGAUUGACUGAAAGCAGCGAGAUUGUAAAAGUCUUUGAGUUAAAAACCGCCUCUUGUUACGAUGCUAAAUGGGGGGCCUUUUCCUCCUACAGGCCCCCGGCCGUCCCAAUCGACCUUUCCAAGGUCCAAAUCUGCUCACGUAAUCCAACAACUGCCUUCUGCGGAGCCUCACAGCAGUCCAUCGCAUUUCUGCUGCUCUUUACGUCGAACUGCUCUGCAUUCAUAUGAGCUUGUUUCACGCCGGGAGGGAAGCACUCUUUUUUUUUUUUUUUGCUACUUUAAAGCUGCUUGCUGUUUACAGAUUACCCUGAAUCUCAGACUGGAUGCAACAGAUGCGUGUCGGCAGCAUGUGCUUCUUGGAAAUGCAGAGUAGAAACACCGACACCCGGUCGGAUUCCGCUCCGUGGGUUUCAGGAUCGUGUUAUUCAAAGGUGCCAAAGAAAUACCCGAGAAAGUGUAGAGAACUGCUAAAGUACGGGGAGCUACUGUUAAACAACGUUCCCUGACACGUGUUUUGUUUGGCCACGCGGCCCAACGACACAUCACUAUUUUUCUUGUUAACAUAAUCUCCCUCCUUUUCUCCCCACCUCCUUCAAUUUUUCCACAAAGUUAUCACCACACGCUCCGGGCCGGCAGAGUUUCUGAUUAAGGAAACUGAAUCAACCUGAAAACCUCCAGGCGUACAAUAGGGAUGGGACGAUAACGCAGGGCCAGCAGAGCACACCCUUUCCCACUUCCUACCCUCUCCGAAAGAAAUUAGACCCGCGUGAGCAUCCGGCCGUCUGCAGAUGGCCCGUCGUCCCACAGCCAUCAAGAGUGUUUUAUUCAGCUGUUUGUCACACUGUGAGAAAUGUGAGACCUCAAUCUCUUCCUGCUACAUCUACCGUGACCCGCCAGCGCUCCAGCCCAAGGAGAUCUAAUGGAAACUUUCCCCGUUCGUGCCGCAGGAUGGGGGGUGUAGGGGGGGAGGGCGGGGAGGCAGGCGGGUACGGGGUUUGCCUGACUGUCAUCCACGCUGCAUAUUGGAUAAACAGGGGGUGAAAGGUCAUGUUUGCACAGCAUAUCCUCCAUUUCCUUCACGUCAAACAGGAUGUCUUUGGCAUCUUUGACGCUGCAUCAACAUUUCUUUUUACCCCCCCCACCCCCACCUUGUCUGUCUGCGUCUAACAUACAUUUCACACAGAUGCAGGGGGACGGGUGGAGCUCGCAGUGGGACAUUUCCUCGGGUUGUCACCUGCUAACUGCUCAGUCUGUCAGUCAGUACACUUUGCAUGCGCCCAAGCUAACCUUAGUAUUAGCAUUUAAAUUGAGUAGCCAACGAAAUGGGGCGGGGGGGGCUCCUUCCGUUUUCCGUCUUCUCUUUCGCUGCUUUGGCUCCGCAACGCUCCCAAAGCUCAUUGCAAAUACCUCCAUGCUGUUGGCCGCUGGCCGUGGCCUGCUGGUGGCGUCUUGGCAUGAGCAGAUGUUUGGAUUUGGACUCCCUCUGAGAAGAAUGCGAGAAUAUGAGCGAGCGGUUUCAGGCGGACGCUCGCAGCGGCGGUUUUGAGGAGUCAAACCGAGGGGAACUUUUUUUUUUUCUCUCAGAGAAGUUCGAGCAAAGUACCCCUUUUGAUGGCGAAAAUCCUCAACUUGACUGAGCUCAGCACGGGAGAUUAUGGAGAAGAUUUUUCUUUUCUUUUUUUUUUUUUUUACUCCUUUAAUCCCUCUUUCGGGUUAAGAAGCGGAAGCGUUAUCUUUGGCGUGUGCACGUGUGAGUAAAAGCGAGAGAAGGAGAACAAAGGGAGUAAAGCAGCGGAGGCGAUUUGGCCGGAGUGCGUCGUGCAGAUCGAGGUCACGUCGCUGAUCCCUCCCCCCACCCUCCCCCGCUGCUCGGGUGAGAGCGGGUGACCUCUGCUUCAUUAACUCCGUAAUUCCCUUUUCGCCCUCCGAUCUAUUUGUGUGUGUGUGUGUGUGUUUGUUUAUCCGUGUGUGUCUAGAAGCCGAUAGAAGUUUGUGUUAAUGAGGGAGGCGGCAUCGGGACGAGACGAGUGAGAAAAAAGUUCCUCCAGUCAGCCUUUUGAUGCAGGAGCCCCUCCUCCCCCCCCACCGCCGUUUCUCCUUCUUCCCGACCCAACAGAAGAGCUGCAGGCGGAACAAGCAGACAGGCCUUUGAUGCCCGAGUUGAUGGUUACCAAGCGCUCCCUACCUCCACCUCUCCCCCCCCCCCGUAUGCCUCGCUCGCUUUCCGUCCUUGACAACCGCGUCGUCAAGCAGAAAUGCGCCCAAUGGCGGCCCAGGGCCGAGGGGCGUCGACAACCCCGGCACCUGUCUUCUCCUUCCUGUCCCCGUUUACGCCGCUCCGCUCCGUCUCCUCGCGUCACCUCCUCCCCUUCCGUCCCCCGUCCCUCUCGGCGAUGCCGUCACGCGCUUCAUCCCCCGACUCGUCUCGGUGCAGCCGGAGGAACGAGGGGUCCCGUCGACCACGCGCCCCCGGAAGGCACGGCGUCGAGCGCGAGGGCCGUGGGAGGCUGGCAUGCGGGUGGAAUCUUGGGUAAAAAAAACAAAAAACAAAGAGGAGGAUUUGGUGCGCAGUGCAACAUCCUUUUUAUUUGUUCCGCCGCUCUGCCUGUUGGGAAGAGUUUGAAAAAGUUUUGUCUCUUAAUCCGUACAAAUCAACCUGGACUCAUCAGUGCAACUGCACAUUUUCUUGGACGGAAUUUGUUUCUGGAUUUGAGCCGGAUAAUCACAUUAAAGAGUCACGCGCUUUAAUCACAAUUCCUUCUGCAAUUUAAAAGGCAGCAUUAUUUAUAUAUAUAUAUAGAAAUUGAUUCACCCCUCCCCAAAUUCAGCCCCAGGAGGCCUCUGACUAGAUAAUAUGUUUACUGUAGCGAUCAGCUACAGUUGGAAAGCGCUUGGAUGAGCUCCACUCCACGUGUGUGUGUGUGUGUGUGUGUGUGUGUGUGUGUGUGUGUGUGUGUGUGUGUGUGUGUGUGUGUGUUUGACUGAGAGGAAGGCCUCAAAGAACUGAACACAAAAUGUCACAUGUCACGAUUACAGAGGCCCGGAGGCUAUUCUGAGACUAAUGACUGCAUAAUGGUAACGGGUCGCACAAUGACAAACUCCAUUACGAAGAUUAUUCCUCUGAAGGAGAUGAAGACGCCUCACACCACCCACGACGGACACAAACUGACUUAAAUAUGACCAGACCAGAGCAAACUGCUGAUGUUCUCCCACGUGCCUUUAUUACACAAAGCCUUCUUUUCGUCCUUACGGUCCAGUUGUUGCUGUUGUGCGCAGACCCCCACAAAACGGUUAUGCAAGAGAACUAAAUGAUAAGCACCUGGUAAUCUGACGAAUGGAUUAUUCUGAAAAAUGUAUUAAUCGAGUCGUUUCCCGGGAGGAGUCGUUUCACGAUAUUAGUGAAAUCAAAUGAGACUACGGGCAACCACGGCCUCUCGGCAGUGCAGCUGAGGGCCCAGAACACAGAGGUGGGUGUUCAUUGCUAUUCCUGCACUGCGGUGAAACAGGUUAGUGCUGUCAGGAUUGAAGUGGGCUAGCAGGGGAUUAUGUGGUAGGAGGGUGUCUUUUCUUUUUCUCCUACGGCGCGUACCUCCCUCCAGCCCCGACGCCCCUCCGCCUCCUCUUCCCUCGGCUCCUCUGUAUAAUGUGGGAGUGUUGUUUAGACCUUGCAAACCACCCCCCCCCCCUCCCCUCCCCUCCGGGUCGGUGAAGACGGUCUGAAAAGAAAAAAGUAUCGGUGACGACGACAAGGAAGCGUGACCUGAUGAGCUGUGCAAGAGGACUCGUCAUGAUCUUAAUAUCAGGAAAAAUAUGGGACCUCCAAAACCCUGAGGCUUCACUUCAAACAGGCGACCGAGCGUGUAAUUCCUAAUGAAAAUCACAAGAGCAUCUCAACGCCCACACAAACACCCAAACCCCGUCAACACGUUUUUUUUUAUUUUAACACAAAUUCCCAGCCGGACCGGGAAUCGAAGAGAUAAGAGGCAUUUAAGGGUGUUUGAUUAAAAUAAAAUAAGAAACGAUCAAUUACUUUUUUUUUACCUCGGGGGGGAAAGUGAAGCGAGACGAGGAAACGUUCACUGACGUUCACGCUGCCUCUUUAAUACCGAGCCAUCGAUUCGCGCGCAAUUUCAUUUGCUCGCAAUCAAUAGGGAGUGCACAGCGGUCAGCCUGGAUAAAGUGUGACAAACGGGCAAAGACCAGCAUAUUCAAAUGUCAUUGUCUAGAUUAGCCCUCAUUGAUCGGCUGCAUCCACUUAAGAGGAAGUUACGCUUUGACACUUCCUCACAGCGGCCCCGCCGCCCGCUGACAUGGACAUCAACACUACCUUUCUCUAAGUGCACAUGGGUGCCCGGAGAGACGCAUGAAUGGUACAAGUAGUGUGAGAAAGCCACCUGGUUCGGGGCUUUGAGAGACAGCAGGUGAAGUGCGGUGAGAGGUGAGGCCGCCGUGAGCAGAGGGGUCGAGGGAGAGAAGAGGAGGUUACGCGCAGCAGACGAGAUACGCGGACAAAGCGGCAUGUGGAGCGGGAGCUGGGAAAUGGAUCGGUGUUCGUUAGCGAGAGUCUCUCGCCCUGCACACACACACACACACACACACACGCACAAGUCUCUUCAAUUUCUGUUCCUUCGUCUCUCCCCUUACGCAAGCUUUCCACAUCUUCUCUCUCGUUCGUUCAAAUCAUUUCUAGUGUUUUUUCUUUCUCUGAAAUUUCCCAGCUCAGUAAAACGUUGGCGGAGUGCUUUUCCAUUCUCUCUCACAAACAGUGUUUGCCGUCCAGUCAACUGGCAGCACAUGAACAAAGCAUUGUGACUGCGAGCGGCGUCUGCUUAUGGAACACUUUUCCUGACUGUGCUGCAGCUGUGUUCCUUUUCUUCGAAUCUGUUGGGAUUGCUGAUAAAAGACAGUCAAAAUAUACGAUUACUCUGGGAAAUAGUUGAACCCACUGUGAGCAAGUUCGACCUGUUGAGCGGAUUCUUUAUAUGUUCCACUGCUGUGCAGUUUUGCAGAUGGCCGCAAGUUUCAAACGCUUUGACUAGCUUCUCUCUCGGUGGCCAAGUGGUCACAACAACGAAUAUUUCUUACCAUGCGUGCACUGUUGUCCCCCAUCACCGUCUGGUUUCUUAUCAUUUCUUAUCGUUUUGAUUAGUGAAGUAAAAAUGGAGCCACAUUAAUACUUUAUACAUUACGUGCUGUUUGUUUAAGUCAUUGAUGAAGUUUAAGAUUUUUUUGGCCAAUGUCCAAUGCUGAGGUAUCAGUAGCAGGACUGAAAAGGUCAAAUCAAAUCAAUCAGACCUGGAAGAGUAACAAAAACUGAGAUAGCAGCAUUUCAAUAACACAUCCCAAUCAUUUCUUCUGCUACCUGACCCGCGCUGUUUGUGAUCUGGCCGGACAAAAGAAAACCAAGUCAAAUGUCCAUAAAAAAAGACAUUUAACGAAGAACGUUCCAACGCAGGUUUUUAUGUUCCAGACAGGUGGGUGUGUUUAAAGCCUCUGGGCCUCCCUCUCAUGUAUUUCCAUUGUGCAACUUACAGUUGAUCACACAAAAGCACUGAGAUGGAUUUGGAGGAGUAAUUUGACCCCCGUCAGGUGGUGUAGCCCCGGGCCGCGAUGCUCUACCAGCCAGCCCGGUUCACCUAAGAACAAAGUAAGCCGGGCUUUAGCCGGCCGGCAACAUGAUCCGCCCUGCAAUGAUUCCCAGGCAUCCGGGGGUCACGCACAGGGACGGGUCUCUCAAAGGCGGUGUCACGUCGGAGAGAGGACCAUACCCUCGGCUAAAGAAGGGAAACCCGAUACGUGCACGCACACGCACACGCGCACACGCACACUCGCAACCCCCCUUUAAUGGCCACGAGAGUGUGAAAGGGACAGGACUGAGUUAAGUGUAAAGCCCCAGCGAGCGAGAGAGAGAGAGAGAGCGCGUGUGUUCAGUAUCGAUUCGUAUUUGAUCCCUGCCAGUCGCUCCUCUCCUGUGUCUCCCCGCAGGCUCCACGCUGACCUUCUCUGACUGUCUGUCACACACACACACACAGGCUCACAUGCAGCCAGCACCGGCAUUGUCGCUUGCCACGAGCGUGAUAGCUCACCCUUAAUGGAGGUGGUGUGAGAGGCGUUAGGGGCCCAAGACAAAAAGAAGAAGGAAGGAAUGAAAAAAGAAAGGAUAAAGGCAUGGGAUGGCUUUGGGCAUGUGAUGGGAGACAAAUGGAGUGACUCAAUAGGUCCAUUAUGAGUCUUGGAGAGGAGGUGGAGAGGGAGGGGGGUGGGGGGGUGGAGGGGAGGUGUUGAGAGAUGGAUGGCAAAGACGAGGCUUUGAGGGGAUGUGAAUAGAUGUAGGGAAGCGUGGUUAGAUUAGUUAGAUCAGGCAAACUGCUUAACCAGCUUAGGGUUCCUGGCCCCGGUUCCUGCUCUCCAUCCCCUCGCGCUUCUUGAGUGCACUCGGACGUUCUUGGAUGGCAGUUAUCAUCACACUGUGCUUUAGCGGUCUCCUCUGAUAUUUGUAUUAAGCAAAUUCUUCAGUCGUCUUAUAUUUCUAUGCGCCUCUAUCUUUGACUCGGGAGGUCAGAGGAUUGGAAAUAAUCUUUAAUAUGUUCGGCUGGUCUCCGUAUUUCUGCACGUUCCCUCCCUCCCUCCUUUAAUCUUGGUUCAUCCCUUGCUCUUGUUGGCCCCCCCCGUGUCCCCUUCUCCCCCUCUCCAUUUCCUCAGCCCUCUUCAUCUUCGCUUCCUCUCGGCCUCUAUAACUGUUAAGUCAUGUUUUAUGGUUCUGUUUGCCGGCUUGGCCCUGCUGCUGUAAUAGAAUCGCUCCUUACAUAGACAACAGUUUCCAGGGUAACGCUGACGGAGGGAGGGUGGGGUGAGGGGGGGUUGGGGGGUGGGAGAAGGCCACGCAGUGCACUGUGCUGUAGUCAAUUUUAUUUUCCUUCACAAUAUUUUUGGCAGAUUUCUGAUACACUCCGCCGGCGACCUGAGGUGUGCAGAAGAAGACGCACGGCAACGCUUUUUUUUUAUCGGCGCCGAAAAGCAUUACCGCCGCUUUCGAUUUGAGCGAUUGCGUUCACUUUUUCAGAACGGGGCCGCUGUGGCUUGUUGUGGAGGUCGAGCAGGUUGAUGCAUUGCCCUUUGUGUGUAGUAACCCUGACUGGCAUUUGUAAGGAGGAAGAGGAGGAGGAGGAGGAGGAGUGAGCUGCAAUGCCUCGCAGACACUCACUGGCAUUUCCCUAAUCACUCCGACUCAUCUUUUAUUACCUCGGAAAGUCAUUCCCCUCCUGGGUGCUGCCACUGCAGAUGUUUCUACCGCCCGCAGUAUUGGACAUUUUCUCACUGGCGAGAAUAGAGUAGAAGAGACAGACCGUAAUAUGACUGUCGGUAAUAUCGCCACUUUGCUCCGGGGGGAAUGUAUAUUUGCGCGCAGAAUUGGAACAAACUCUCACACGUCUGCAAAAUCACAUUAAGAAAAUAUUCCUUCGUCAAAGCUUUAUGUGGCCUCGGGGAUCGGAAAUAGCUGGUGUCCUGUAAUCGACAUUGUUAGCGUUCUGCGAACAACCUCUCCGAUAUUAGGAAAACAAACAUCAAUCAAAGCAAUGCCUCGCACUGACUCAAAUAACAGUAAAAGUGUAGCCGUUAUAAUAUUUUGGGGUAGCGUCAUAGCUGUGUGCUUAUUGGUCUACAUGUUGCUUAAUUUCAAUGAUUUGAAGAUUCAAUAUAUUUAUGGAGCAUAUUCGCCGUUUCCAGCAAUCAAGGUCUCCUUGAGCUGUGCAAUUAAUGAAACGCACUUUGUGUAAUAGACACGGCAAGGUGACAACCCACAGCAGGUGGGUGAUUGUGACAGAAUGAAAAGAAAUCUUCAGAUUGAAUGAGUUUGUAAUUAUCUUUUUUUCUCAAGUAACCAGAUUACGAAAAAUAAACAGCCAUAAAUAAUAAGCCCAUGUUUAAUUUGAAAAAAAUAAAUGCCCAGCUUUACAAUAACCCUUCACUCUUGGAUGACAGCAGUCCAAAGAUAGACAUACACACGUCGCCGCUGUGAUACAGUCUAAUGGCCACUUCUCUGGUGCCAGCGGAUCCCCGUUUGCUGUAAUGUCAUCAUGUUUCUAUAAAAGGGGAUGAGAUGAGAGAGGGACAGUAUAACCCUUCGGGCCCCCGCCCGGCCCCGCUGAGACCAGUUUGGUUGAAAAGAGGGGUGUGUUGGACCGGGGUUUGGGGGUGGAUUUGGGGGGGCAGCGUUCGGGGUAUUUCUGCAUUAGAAGUGCUGCAGCGUGAGGCAACAGAGAGACAAAGAGGGACCACCGCCUAUAUUUAGUCUGACCUGAGUGCCGGCGUGUGGCCCGGAGAGAGGCAGAGAGACAGGUGCGGCGGCCGGUCAUUACGGGAGAACACAAGAGGCCGAUAGCGGGGGGGGGCCUCAUUUGACAACUACCUCCAGCCCCGCUGCACCGCCUAUAUUUAGCUGCGCUUUGAGGCCGGCGUUUUUUGAGCCGCGCGUGUUCACGCUCCAGCGUGAAAAAAAAACACAGGCCCGCUGGGCCCGUGAGCGUGCAGCUGGGGAUUGGACGCUGGCACGGGGGUGGCGGGAGAGGGGGAGGCGUCUCUAGGUAGACUGGCAUCUGUUUGGAGACGACACACGCCGCGCGCUCGCAGUGUUUGCACAGGCGUAAAGGUGCUUCUGACCCGCAGGGCGACGCGUCUCAGGAUUGCACCCGAUUUCGGAGUUUGUCACGUCUCUGUAACAUCUGCUGCUCUCCGCUCCGGUGAGCCGCGCUGUUCUCGUUGGUAUUCGCGCCACGGACCCUGACUCGCUUCCGAUGUUAAACUUAGUUGUUAGACAGGCGUGAAAGUUGUCGUAGUCGGCGUUGAAACAAUUGACUCAGUGAGUGUUUGGAUGGAAAUCCACUGGUUUCAGGAGAUUGUAGGGGACACUUAGGACAGCCAGAGUGUGUCUCUCUUUCCCGUCUUUGCCCGUAUUUUUCUGCAGCACACAGCUUGUCGCUCAACACAGAACAAACAUUGGCGGCCAUGUAGCGAGCGGAGUUCGUCAUUUCUCUCCAUCCUCCGUCCGUCUCUCUGAGAGGACACAAUACUCGGAGUGAGGGAAGGAAGAAAAAAAGGAACUGGUCAGGCUUUCAGUACUGUUCAACCUUGGAAUGCUCUCCGGAACGUUUUUAUAAAGUUUAAGUAGAACUUAAAAUGGUCUGCACGUGUCGGCCCUGCGACAGCCGACCUCUCCGGGGUGUCCCUGCAUCCCUAAUGGAUGGAUGAAUUUUUGCCAGUGCCUCUGUCAUGCAUUUUAACGUCUGACAUUACUAAACAAAAUCAAGCCGAAACAGACCACAGCUCCACGGCCGGGCUGUUCAUCUGCAUUUUACUGCACUUAAAGUCAAAUGAAUGAUGCGGGUAAAUCACGCUGGAAGGCACACUGACCACCGUCCAUCUAAGGGCCACUAACUCAGCCGUGCCAUGGAGACCGACAUGAAUGAAAGUCAGUCAGGAGGAAGUUGGACAUCAGAGUGUCCUGCUCACUGUGGUGAUCCAAGGGGAGCAGCUGAUAACAUCCACCCGCUCCAAUUGCAAGCAGGAGAAGGUAAACGCCGACUGUGGCUCUUCACAGAGAACGUUUCUGCGACACCGUUUAGGAGAUUAGUUUUCCAUACUCUCCAUUUGUGCAUUUUUAUGUCCCUGUUUUGUUGCCAAACAGUGAACGCGUCCGUUGGGAAUGCAGCGUGUCAUCGGAGAUACCAUUUUAUCCGCCCCCCGCCUGUUGGCUGCAGAUUGCGACAGACAAAUCAUUUUUGCCUCUUUGAUGUCUAUGGACGAACGGCCGUCUUUGUGGCCGUGAGAGCGGAAGUUGUUGGACUGAAUUUGAGCACCGGUUGUUUACUGUUGCUUAGUGAAACCUAAUAAUUGAGGCGCGGGAUUUACCGAUGACCUUUGGUUGACCCGUAAAUUUACAGCUGCACCCUUCACCCCCCCGGCCUGGAUCUCAUGUUGAGGGCACCAUUCAAACCAUUAAAGUGUAAUUUGAGAGAAAGGGGCCGACUGCACAGGGGGGGAGGUGAUUUUUAAAAAUUUGUCAGUUCAGAAAGCCAAGGUCACCGUCACACGAGGGGGUUUGUGUCAAGACACGUUGCAUUCUGGGUAAGCAGAGCUAGUAAAAAAAAAAUGGGCCGGGCAGUGAGUCUUGGUUGAGGGGUGUUGCAGAGGGGGGGGGGGUCAGACAAAGAGAAGUUCUGGUUGAGGACUUUGGGGACGGGGGAGGCCUAACCUGCCCGAGGCAAAGGGAGGGAUGGAACGCAGCCAAGAUGACGGAGGGGAGAAGAGGUGAGUCGUUACGGGCUCGUAAUCUAAUCUCUGGUCACUGAACUGAAAGUGGGAGAGUUUGGCUGCCAACCGUGAGUGAGUGAAAAGGCGAUUGUUCAAUCUAUGGAGUCAAUUAAAACCGCUGAUAGAAAUGUAUAAAACCGCAUUUAGUUUGGGGGGCCCAUUUCUUUUUCCCAAUCAUUUCCUUUUAGUCCAUUUUCUGACGGAUGAGAAAGUGUCAAACUAUACGGGAAUGGGGGAGCGACGGGGGGGAGGGGGGGGUGCAAUCAGGGCCGAGUUCACAAAGAAUGGCUUGCAGGUGCCGCGAGCGUUAUGAAUCGUGCAUCACUUCCAUCAACAUCUGCCCCGUAUUACGGUUCGAAUCAUAAAAGAUGUUGCCGUUGUGAGACUACAGUCCAAAACACACCAUGAAGUUGUUUUUUUGGCAUCUGAUUGCAAUUAUCCAUGCUACAAGCUAUUGAUUCGCUUGAGGCCAAUGCAGCUUUUGGGAGUAAUAGCCCGCCUGAGCUAGAAGCCCGUCAGGACCAAACCGCUCAAGUGGCCUUUCUUUUCACAGUAAUGUAUAAAUAUUUCUCCUUUUGUGGAAACAGCGAAAUCAUGGCGAGCAGGGAACUCGGAAGUGACGUUCAGCCAGCGUAUUGUGGGUUUAGGAGGGUUUAUUUUGGGGAAAAAGGGUAUUUUUCUUGGCUCUAGCAAUGGGUGUUUGCCUCCCCUCCAAGCACCUGUGAUGUUUUUGGCUCUGCGGCUGGACGCUCAUCGGUUACCUGGACUCAAGGCUGCACGUUGGUCGUCAACGUUUUCACUUACGUCACUACAGUACGCGUAAAGAAAUAACUGCGUGAUUCAAGCUGAUGGUGUAAUUUGAGAAAGGCAACUUGGAGCUAAAAGAAAAGACGGAGUAAAGGCUGGAGGCAAGAGCGGGUGUGAAGGGGGGAAGGAUGUGACAAAAGCCCGGUGUGAUUAGCAAAAGAAGUAAGAGUUGGUGCUGAGAGCUGUGUGCAAAUGCUCAAAGCAUCUCAAGAUCUAAUUAAAUAUUAAUGUAUUUGAACUUGUUUAAAAUUAUCCCGAGGUUCCGUUUUCUUCUUCUUUUUGCGCUAUAUAAAAGUUUAAUUAUUAUAUUGAGUAGUUUGUGGGCAGCCAAAGUACGCUGUAAAAGAGUUGCCUUAAAUUAAAUAAAUAGAUGCAUCUGUUGGUUAACAGACAUAAGAGACCAAUUAAUGAAGUGAAGUGCCGGAGUUUAUUCAGUCUGUGCGCGUGAGCGAGUUAGCGUGUUUGUUUUUGCUUACCAUAUUGAUUUAACGCCCCCCCUUCCCCUCCCCCGCCUCCCUUCCUCCCCCCAGUGCAGGCAAUCAAAAUUUGUGAGCCUGCCAUAGAUUUCUUUCUGUAAAUCUCUGUACACACACACACACACGCACAAUAACACCCACACAAAACCCCAAACUCCCCGCUCCCCUCGCUCACCCACCCGGCUCCAGAUGCGGCCCCAGCAGCGGUGACUUCCGGCCAGCACACAUCUCCUCCCAUUUAUCAAUCGGCAUUAGGCCGUGGUAGGUGAGCAGACAGGUCAAUCCACCUCCAGAUGGAUCCGUAUUAGACGCAGCCGCUCCAUCCAUCUGAGCCCGGACCAGCCUCCCUCUGCCAGGGGCCCACUCGCUCCACUUUAGGAACCCUCAUCGGGGUCGGAAACACUUUCUGAACGUUUCACAAGUUGAUACUGAGCAGAGGAGAGUUUUUGGCGCAGAGAUCCACGUGAGGAUAAAUAAAUAUAUAAGCCUCUAUUGCAUUAUUCCCUCUCAAAUCACCAUCGUAGGCCUGCCUUCGCAGCCACCUCCUCUCUCUCUCUCUCUCUCUCUCCCUUCUCUGUUUCCCCAAAGCCCAUGAAAGUUGGAGCACUUUAAUAGGAAGAUGAAACGCGAGAGAGGAAGUGUGUGAUGUGAUGGAGAUGAGAGCGAUGAUGAAAUGGAGAUGGAUUGGAUGCGGAUGAGAGCCACAGGUGACAGGUCUCGUCCUCUCCUCCCUUUCGCCCCUGAGAACGUCUCCUGCAGAUCCCACAUGCCCAUGUCUCUAGUCUCCAGCCAUUUUCCCUCUGUCUCUUUUCCUCUCCCCUCUCUCCUCUCUCUCCCUCCCGUCAUAUAUAUAUAUAUAUAUAUAUAUAUAGGACGUGCAUGGCGUGGAGCAGCGCUCGGAUAAUCAGCAGCGGUUUAUUCAUUAUGAAUGAGAGCCGGUUCUGGGGGGAGCCAGUGAGUAGGCCUCUCGCAGAGACUCAUCAAUUAAACAACAGAGUUUCCCAGCCUUUUGAUUAAAGAUAAAGAGGAAAUACGAUGAUCAAUAGAGACCUGUUAGAGACCGGGCAAAACAGACCAACAAAACGCAAGAAAGCUGGAAGACAGACAAACAAACAGAGGAGUGGAGGGAAGGAGCCACGGAGAACGCGGGGUGCGUUGGCGUGUCGACAUCUCGGCGGGGGGAAGCCUCGCCGUCGCCCCCGCAUCAAUCCCACGCAGGCCCACGCCUUGGAUCGAUGCCAGGGCGGCAGCGCGGGCAGAGGGCCAAACCCCGCUGUCUGUUCUCCCCCCUUUUUGCUCUCCCGCCCUCGCCUGAUUCUCCUCUUCUGCCGUCUCUUCUUUUGUUCUCUCUCCUUUCCUCCCCACGCUUUUUCUCUCCUCUUUCCCGUCUGUUACUCCUCGUCUUAUCUCACCUCCCACGCCCUCUCCCACCGGUUGGCCUGCGUCUCAUCUUGGUUCCCCCGAGGUCUUAAACCCCUUUCAAGUGUUUAUUUUUACAAAAUUAAUUUAUUCAAGAGGGAACCAGAAAGGCCUGAAUGUACAGCUCGGCGGGAAUCGCUUUUCAGCUCGAAUCCCGUUGUCUCAGGUGAUGUCGCACACUCAGCAGGAACGGCAGCCUCCGGGACGCGCCGCCUCCCUCCCACAUGUUCCCCCGUCUCCGAGGCCUUGAAGUUGGGGCCAAGUGUGGAGUGAAAGGCCCGGCGACGGGCUGGUACUGUUAAUCUACGCCAUGUCUGAUUACGCUUUUUACCCCGUGAACAGGAGGUUGCUCGGCUUGUUGCUAGGCUCCUGUCCAAUAAGUGGCUAUGAAGGUGGGCGGACGGUGCUGUCAUGCUCAUCACAAAGACACACACACACACACACACAUCCCGUUUCUUUAUCCAUGUGGAGCACGAAAGGAAAUUAAAUAUCACCUAUAUUUCCAGUUGAAUUACUUUUACUUGCUUUCUAAAUGGUGUUGGAGGGAGGGAGGCCAGUAGCUGGCUGCUAACACUGAUGAGCACGACGCUGUGGUAGUGACAAUCACAAGGUACGCCCCGCCCUAAAACAUACACCACGGAUAAUACACUCAAGUUUACUGAGGUCAUACAUCAAGUGAGAAGUAGGGUUCUUUUACCCAUAUUUCAAUAUAACCAGACUUCUUUUUGCUGGUCAUUAGAAAGAAUGAAGAAGUUUAAGAUACUUUCUCAUUUACUUCACUAUGUUUAAGAGGAUGAUUUCUGAUGGCAGAGAAGAUGCCUAAGGGCUCAUCAAUUGUAUCCACGUAUAUACAAAACUAUUUCACUGCAUCUCAUUUUUCAUCUGAAUUUGUGCUUUGAUAUUAAUCAAAGCAAAAGACAAUCCGAGCCUCCUAUAAACCCGGAUCCUCGUCUCAUUUCUAUUCUCCCAUCUUUGAUCACCAUAAACAGCAUCUGGUGCCUUUGCACUAACCAGAUCCGCUCCCACUUACAGCAGGACCAGUAAAUUCAUCGCAACAUCUGGUCAGCUCAACACUUUCUGCAGCUUCUGCAUAUCAACAACACUGCAAGAGAAAUCCAACAUAUUUCGGGAUAAUUCAAGCACCUGUUUGUUUUUGUUUUUUUCUUCCAUUUUGAGGUUCCGAUGCAUCUUCUGCCCCCCCCCGCCCCCCAACAGGGAAGCAGCUCUGUUCUCUUGGCAUCCUCUUGUGUAGCAACUUGCCAGGUUACAUAGCAUUACCCUCAUUACUCACACCUCCCUUCAAAGCGCUUCGCUCGUUGUGGCUGUGGGAUGAACGCGGCAGCCUCUCUGGCCUCUGGAGUCAACCAACCACUCCAGUAAGAGCCAAACUUCCUGGUUUACUUGUGGUUGGUUAUGGAUUUUGGCCCUCGGUGCUUUGCCGUCUUUACGGGCGCACAGCUGCUGUUUACUCAACAUCGAGAUCGAAGCGUUCUGACUUUUGGCUUUUUUUUGCGCCGUAAGAGAAAGGGUUUAUUCGUUUUCACUUCCGCUCAGAUGAGUUUUAAUGUAUCAUGAGGGCUCUCAAUUUUUGUGUGGGAAGUUUGCUAUCAUUAGCAUCUACGAUGCUUUAUGAGUGGAUGCAUUCACAGUGAAGCAUGGCCUCAGGCUGACAUCAGCACCGGCCAGACCAUCCACGCUUGGUAAUGGGAAAAAAAAAGCGGAAUACAAAAGGGUUCACAAAUUAUUCUGUUUAGACUUGUUGGCUUGUUUUGGAUAACAGACGCAAACAUUUUUUUUCUUAAUGCCAAGACAUCCAUUAUAUAUAUUCAAAUAUAUGCUGAAUCCUGAAUUCCACGUUCUUUAAAUGGCAAACACAAGGUUUAUUAAUAUUACUCACAUGAAAAACUAAAAAGAUAUAGAAAUACAAACAAUAUUUCUAAAUUCAUUUGCCUGGUACAAAAUAAAAGAAAGUGUGCUUAUGGAAUAAUAAGUUUUAUAUAGUAAUGUGAUGGGAAUUGUGUGUAAUAUUUCAAUAAACGGUGCAAACUCAUUGUCAUUAGCAACUGAGCUAACAAGUUCGCAUGGUGGAUUUAUUUAAGCUUUUCUGCAAACUGCUCCACAAAAGGGGAGUGUCUUAAGAGAUCGAUUAUACAAAAAUGUAUUUUAAAUUA